UUAAGUUAUUAAGGGCGCACGGUGGAUGCCUUGGCACUAGAAGCCGAUGAAGGACGUUACUAACGACGAUAUGCUUUGGGGAGCUGUAAGUAAGCUUUGAUCCAGAGAUUUCCGAAUGGGGAAACCCAGCAUGAGUUAUGUCAUGUUAUCGAUAUGUGAAUACAUAGCAUAUCAGAAGGCACACCCGGAGAACUGAAACAUCUUAGUACCCGGAGGAAGAGAAAGAAAAUUCGAUUCCCUUAGUAGCGGCGAGCGAAACGGGAAGAGCCCAAACCAACAAGCUUGCUUGUUGGGGUUGUAGGACACUCUGUACGGAGUUACAAAGGACGACAUUAGACGAAUCAUCUGGAAAGAUGAAUCAAAGAAGGUAAUAAUCCUGUAGUCGAAAAUGUUGUCUCUCUUGAGUGGAUCCUGAGUACGACGGAGCACGUGAAAUUCCGUCGGAAUCUGGGAGGACCAUCUCCUAAGGCUAAAUACUCUCUAGUGACCGAUAGUGAACCAGUACCGUGAGGGAAAGGUGAAAAGCACCCCGGAAGGGGAGUGAAAUAGAACCUGAAACCGUGUGCUUACAAGUAGUCAGAGCCCGUUAAUGGGUGAUGGCGUGCCUUUUGUAGAAUGAACCGGCGAGUUACGAUUUGAUGCAAGGUUAAGCAGUAAAUGUGGAGCCGUAGCGAAAGCGAGUCUGAAUAGGGCGUUUAGUAUUUGGUCGUAGACCCGAAACCAGGUGAUCUACCCUUGGUCAGGUUGAAGUUCAGGUAACACUGAAUGGAGGACCGAACCGACUUACGUUGAAAAGUGAGCGGAUGAACUGAGGGUAGCGGAGAAAUUCCAAUCGAACCUGGAGAUAGCUGGUUCUCUCCGAAAUAGCUUUAGGGCUAGCCUCAAGUGAUGAUUAUUGGAGGUAGAGCACUGUUUGGACGAGGGGCCCCUCUCGGGUUACCGAAUUCAGACAAACUCCGAAUGCCAAUUAAUUUAACUUGGGAGUCAGAACAUGGGUGAUAAGGUCCGUGUUCGAAAGGGAAACAGCCCAGACCACCAGCUAAGGUCCCAAAAUAUAUGUUAAGUGGAAAAGGAUGUGGCGUUGCCCAGACAACUAGGAUGUUGGCUUAGAAGCAGCCAUCAUUUAAAGAGUGCGUAAUAGCUCACUAGUCGAGUGACACUGCGCCGAAAAUGUACCGGGGCUAAACAUAUUACCGAAGCUGUGGAUUGUCCUUUGGACAAUGGUAGGAGAGCGUUCUAAGGGCGUUGAAGCAUGAUCGUAAGGACAUGUGGAGCGCUUAGAAGUGAGAAUGCCGGUGUGAGUAGCGAAAGACGGGUGAGAAUCCCGUCCACCGAUUGACUAAGGUUUCCAGAGGAAGGCUCGUCCGCUCUGGGUUAGUCGGGUCCUAAGCUGAGGCCGACAGGCGUAGGCGAUGGAUAACAGGUUGAUAUUCCUGUACCACCUAUAAUCGUUUUAAUCGAUGGGGGGACGCAGUAGGAUAGGCGAAGCGUGCGAUUGGAUUGCACGUCUAAGCAGUAAGGCUGAGUAUUAGGCAAAUCCGGUACUCGUUAAGGCUGAGCUGUGAUGGGGAGAAGACAUUGUGUCUUCGAGUCGUUGAUUUCACACUGCCGAGAAAAGCCUCUAGAUAGAAAAUAGGUGCCCGUACCGCAAACCGACACAGGUAGUCAAGAUGAGAAUUCUAAGGUGAGCGAGCGAACUCUCGUUAAGGAACUCGGCAAAAUGACCCCGUAACUUCGGGAGAAGGGGUGCUCUUUAGGGUUAACGCCCAGAAGAGCCGCAGUGAAUAGGCCCAAGCGACUGUUUAUCAAAAACACAGGUCUCUGCUAAACCGUAAGGUGAUGUAUAGGGGCUGACGCCUGCCCGGUGCUGGAAGGUUAAGAGGAGUGGUUAGCUUCUGCGAAGCUACGAAUCGAAGCCCCAGUAAACGGCGGCCGUAACUAUAACGGUCCUAAGGUAGCGAAAUUCCUUGUCGGGUAAGUUCCGACCCGCACGAAAGGCGUAACGAUUUGGGCACUGUCUCAACGAGAGACUCGGUGAAAUCAUAGUACCUGUGAAGAUGCAGGUUACCCGCGACAGGACGGAAAGACCCCGUGGAGCUUUACUGUAGCCUGAUAUUGAAAUUCGGCACAGCUUGUACAGGAUAGGUAGGAGCCUUUGAAACGUGAGCGCUAGCUUACGUGGAGGCGCUGGUGGGA
rnacentral:rRNA from 1 species